rnacentral:rRNA from 1 species
GACGAACGCUGGCGGCGUGCCUAAUACAUGCAAGUAGAACGCUGAAGGAGGAGCUUGCUUCUCUGGAUGAGUUGCGAACGGGUGAGUAACGCGUAGGUAACCUGCCUGGUAGCGGGGGAUAACUAUUGGAAACGAUAGCUAAUACCGCAUAAUAGUAGAUGUUGCAUGACAUUUGCUUAAAAGGUGCAAUUGCAUCACUACCAGAUGGACCUGCGUUGUAUUAGCUAGUUGGUGAGGUAACGGCUCACCAAGGCAACGAUACAUAGCCGACCUGAGAGGGUGAUCGGCCACACUGGGACUGAGACACGGCCCAGACUCCUACGGGAGGCAGCAGUAGGGAAUCUUCGGCAAUGGACGGAAGUCUGACCGAGCAACGCCGCGUGAGUGAAGAAGGUUUUCGGAUCGUAAAGCUCUGUUGUAAGAGAAGAACGAGGGUGAGAGUGGAAAGUUCACACUGUGACGGUAUCUGACCAGAAAGGGACGGCUAACUACGUG